UACGUAGGGUGCAAGCGUUGUCCGGAAUUAUUGGGCGUAAAGAGCUCGUAGGCGGUCUGUCGCGUCGGAUGUGAAAAUCCAGGGCUCAACCCUGGACCUGCAUUCGAUACGGGCAGACUAGAGUUCGGUAGGGGAGACUGGAAUUCCUGGUGUAGCGGUGAAAUGCGCAGAUAUCAGGAGGAACACCGGUGGCGAAGGCGGCUUUCUGGACGGUAACUGACGCUGAGGCGCGAAAGCGUGGGGAGCAAACAGG
rnacentral:rRNA from 1 species